AGAGUUUGAUCCUGGCUCAGGAUAAACGCUGGCGGCGCACAUAAGACAUGCAAGUCGAACGGACUUAACUCAUUCUUUUAGAUUGAGAGCGGUUAGUGGCGGACUGGUGAGUAACACGUAAGCAACCUGCCUAUCAGAGGGGAAUAACAGUGAGAAAUCAUUGCUAAUACCGCAUAAGCUAGUAGCAUCGCAUGAUGUAGCUAGAAAAGGAGCAAUCCGCUGAUAGAUGGGCUUGCGUCUGAUUAGCUAGUUGGUGGGGCAACGGCCUACCAAGGCGACGAUCAGUAGCCGGACUGAGAGGUUGAACGGCCACAUUGGGACUGAGAUACGGCCCAG
rnacentral:rRNA from 1 species